rnacentral:lncRNA from 1 species
CGAGUUGGUAAACUACUCCUAGAAUAACUGGUACUGAUACAGAGAUGAAAAGAGUGAUAGGCCAAGAACUGGAAACAGUUCUUCUAGAAGAGGAAGAAGUUGAGCUUGAGUUGGGCCUGGCUAGUGUGACUGCAGGUUGAUAGCAGAGUUUCUCAGUUAUGCAAGCAGAUUAGGAUUAACAUUGAGAAAUUAAUAGUAUACAAUUCGUCAGCAAAAGAGGAGGGAUCUGAAGAGUAUUACUUGACUAGCUUCCUCGUUAGCACUUAGCUUUCUUAUAUGGUAUCAAUAUUAUACUUCAUUUGUUUCGAUCAAUGUGGUAUUGUUAAAACAUUAUCAUGAGAUUUC